rnacentral:misc_RNA from 1 species
AUGAUCUGGAGCUCACUCUCGGGAGCUCAAGAACCAGGUGACUUGGCAUGAACAUUUGAUCAAAUAGAUCAAAUGGACAAUGGAUUGCAAAAAUGAGAAGUUCCAAUGGUCUUCUUAGGCAAAUAUGAGUUCCAUGUUGUACUUUCUGAAGAAAAAAUUUUAUAAAGGAGAUCAAGGUGGGCACCAGCAACUGCUCUCUUUUUAAAGUCCUUUUCCUUUCUGUUUUACCAUAUGGAUGGUUUUCAAAAUGAAGGGUAGUUUCACAACCCUUUCAUUAGCCUCUAUGUA